AGAGAAUUCAAACCCAGACUCCUUAGGUAGAGCAGGCAUCUUUUAAAAAUAAUAAACUAUUAAAAAGGGCAGUUUUAUGUUUACAGAAAAGAGAGCAGAAAGUACCCCACCUGCCUCCCCUAUUAUUAACAUCUUGCAUUAGUUCAGUUCCUUUAUUACAACUGAUAAAUCAGUAUUGACCUGUUGUUAUUAACUACCACCCAUAGUGUACAUUAGGAUUCACUCUUUGUUGUUGUGUGGUUCUAAGGGUUUUAAAACAAGUUUAAGUACCCACCUUCAUACUGUUACACAGAAUAGCUUCACUGCCCUAAAAAUCCCCUCUGCUCCAUCUAUUUUUCUCCUCCCCCAAUUCCUGAUGACCCCAGAUCUCUCUACUGUCUCCAUUGCCUUAUUCAGAGUGUCAUAUGGUUGGAAUCAGACCACAUAUAGCCUUGUUUUCAGAUAGCUCCUUUCACUUAGCAAUAUGCUUUUGAGUUUCCUUCAUGUCUUUUGUGGUUCAUUUCUUUUUGAUGCUGAAUAAUAUUCCAUUGUCUGGAUGGACCACUGUAUUCAUUCAGUCACUGAAGGACCUCUUGGUUGCUUCCAGGGUCUGGAGGUUACAAGCAAAACUGCUCUAAGAGUUGGACACUGCCCCCUGCCAUGCUCCCAAUGUUUUCCUAGCAAGAAGGAUGUUUCAGCAGAAGGAACAUCUAUCAGAGGCCCAAGACAUCAAACGGCAUAGUGUGUUCAGGGGACCACACAGCAGCACAAGGGUGGGAGGAGCAGGAGAACAAGGGUAGAGAGGAAGUGGCUAGAAUGGGGUCUCAUGAUAUUCAAACUGUGAUGUUAGUACCCGUUACUGUUUAUUGAGAGUUUACUAAGUGUUCUCCAUGUGGUAUCUUAUCUAAUGCUCACAGAAACCUGUAAGUAUGGACUGAUAGUAUUGCCAUUUUACAGAUGAGGAAACAGAGGCUCAGAGAGGUGGAGAGAGUUGCCAGAGAUGACACAGAUGGUUAGCAGGGGGCAUCCCAGCUUUCAACCCAAGAGAAGCUGAUGUGACACUCCUGCUCUUUACUAUGCAUUACCCGGUCCCCUCAGGAGUUUGAAUUGUAGCCCAUUUGUAAAGAGGCAACAAUGAAAGUUUAAAAAAGAGAGAGGGACAUGGUGGUCCUUGCAUUUCAAAAGGUCCCUCAAUCAGCUGGUGGAAGAUGGGUUAGGGGAUCAAGAGAAAAGACCAGGAGUCCAUUUAGGAAGUGAUUUCAUGAGUCCAGAGGAGGGGAGAUUUGAUCUUAAACUAGGGUGUUGCCAAAGACUUGGAGACAAGGGGACAGAGCCCAGAGAUGUUUGGGAGAAAGGCUACAGGAUCUGAAGUUGAAGUUAAGGAAAAGAGCUGAGGGUGAGUCUCAGAUCUCUGGUUCAGCAAGUGGGUGGAGAAAUGGAAAGCAACUCACCUGCCAUAACGUCUGGGUCCCCACCCCUGUGUGUACGCAGCAGGUCAGAGUCUCACUUAAAUCUCGAAGUCAUUCCCUUGAGUGCUCAGAACGUUGAUUUAUGACAGGAUUCAACUGUUGUUAGUUUGAUAAUUCCAGAUACUAUAGUAUUAGGAGAAAAUCCUAAUUUUAUAAAGAUGUCAGAGGGGAAUUCUACUCUUGAUAAGAGUGAUAGAUUGUGUUAUUGUUCAAAAUAUCUCUACCCCUCCCUAAGGACCCCCCACUUUAUUUUUUUUAAUUAAAACUUUUUUGGCCACACCCUUGGCAUAUGGAAGUUCCUGGGCCAGGAACUGAAUCUGAGCCACAGCUGUGACCUACACUGGAUCCUUAACCCACUAGGCUGGAGAUCAAACCUGUACCUCUACAGCAACCUGAGCCGCUGCAGUUGGAUCCUUAACCCACUGCACCACAGCAGGAACUCCUGGGCCCCCUCUUUAUGCCCCUGUAUAUCCCUCCUCCACUGAUACCAGGUUCGAUCACAUGACUUGUCUUAGCCAAUAGAGUGUAAGCACAAGAAAUGUGUCUCGCUCUUGGGCAGAGGCCCUCAGAACCACUGUGAGGUCCUCUACUUUGCUUUUCUCUCUACCACAAGACUGGCAUGUCCCAAGAAUGAUAGCUUCUUCAGCAUGGGUUCCCAGAAUGAAGAGUGAUGUGGAGAAAAACUUCAGCCAGCCUGUGAUGGACAUGCAGUGUGAGCAAUAAACCUUUGUUGUUGUAAGCCACUGAGAUCUGGGGCUAUAUGUUACUGUAGCAUAGCUUAGCCUAAGCUGACUAAUACAGUUCCUAAUAGGAUAACUUUGAAUUUAUAAAAUAAAGAGUGAUCUCUGGAAGCCAGUAUGGGUUCACUUAGAAUAAAUCAUACCUGACAAAUGCCUUUUACUUAUUUGAUAAAUUAUCCUAGGUGGGUAGCAUGAUAAAUCAGAGGAAUUCUGUAGCUAUAACUGCAUUUUGGAAAUGCAUGGCAAAGGUUAUUCCUCAUAAACAAGAUGGAGAAAUGUGAGCUCAAUGAGAACAUGAUCAAAUGGUUUUGUAACCAUCAGAGUGAUGAACCAAAGAGGGCUGAUUACAUGCUGCUGAUGCUGACCUGCAGAAAGGUCUCUGAUGGUAUGCCACAGGACUCAGCCCUUGUCUCAUCCCCCUCAACAUUUUUAUUAAUGAUUUUCACAAGACCAUCAAAGAUGUGCUGAUCACACUCAAAAAUUAUACGAAGCCUGGAAGAAUAGUCUGAUGAAUGAUGAAAUAUUUUUGGCAGAGCCUAACAAGAUGAAUUAUACAGAGAUCAAACCACAUCUCAAAAACCCAGAAGGACUAGAAGUGGAAGAUGUGAAUUUAUAAAAGCACGUGGGGAAAAGACAGAACUUAGUUGACCUUGAGCUCAGUAUGAGUUAAUAUUAAGCACCAGUAUUCACUGAACACUCACAACAUACCAGACACUCCAUGAAGUACUUUACACAAUUAUCCUAUUAUAUUUUGACAAUAACCCUGGUUAUUUCGUGCCAUGCUUUGCACAAGAGUUGCAUUUAUUGAAUCACCUAUGGAAAAAAUAUGCAUAUGUAUUUUUUUUUUCUGUAAAGAAACUCCCAGGAGGUAGAGUCCAAUCCUUCUGGAAUGCAAUGAUGUUUUCUAUCAUUUCUUCCUCUGUGUUUCUAACUUAAGGAUUCAGUUUAAUUCAAUAAACAUUUAUUGACUAUCUACUCCGUGCUUGACAUUUUUUCCAGAUGCUGAAGAUUGACUGGUGAAUAAAAGAGGUAAAUUCCUUCCUCCCCAGAGUUGCCUGCUGGCAUGGGAGACACAAAACAGUGAACCUCAUAAUUUUAGGUGGUAACACAUUCUGUGAAGGCCACAAAACGGUAUCAGAAUAGAAUGACUGGGGUGCGGGGGAGAUUAGGCAGAAUGGUCAAGGAUGGUAUCCACCCAGCGUUGACAUUUUUUUUUGGCUGUGCCCACAGCAUGUGGAAGGUCCUAGGCCAGGGAUCGAACCCACGUCACAGCAGUGACUCGAGCUGCUGCAGUGACAACACUGGAUCCUAAACCCGCUGCGCUGUCAGGGAACUCUCAGAGGAGGUGACAUCUGAGUAGAGCCCCGAGUGGUGAGAUGAACCCCGCUGUUGUUACCAAGAAAAACAUUUCCUCACCCUCCACUUCCUCUUUGAUUAGAAACCUAGGCACCCAGAGUGACUACAAAAAACCCACUUCCAGAGCCCGAGCAAGAGGAAGGACACUGAGAAUCUCCCAGAUGUCCAGCUUUCUGUCCAGCUGGCUUCUAAGCAGCGUCUCCUCCCUCAACCCUGGCAGGUGCCAGGAGCCUCACCGUGGGCAAACUCUAGCAAACGUACAGAAAGUCCAUCUGAAACGACUGUGUUUUCUUUAGCUUGGAUGAUUUUUGCAGCUCUUGAGUUUCCUUGUACAGUUAAGCAACCCUGGGAAAUUACUUGCCUAACAAGAGCGGUCGGCAUUUCUCAAAGUCUGUUUUUUUAAUACGCUGCCUUCCCUUUGCCCUUGUUUUUCUUCUCUUUGUUUGGCUUUUGAGCAAAAACUUCCUACCCACUGUGAUAUUUUCCCCAUGAAUAGCUAAGUAGGCUAGAAAAACAGUAGUAGGAAAUACGGUGGAUGGCCAGGAAUCAGGGUAAACAGCAGCCUGGGAACCUCCCAGAAGAAUUAGGCUCGGCAUGCUAAUCUCUGCUCACAUCAGCAAGUGGCUCCAAAGUCAAGGUGGCCAGUUAAGCUCCGAGGAGGGGCUUGCCCUGCAAGAUGGUACAGAGGACUUGCUUAGUGUGUCCUGUAGGGAACAAAAAAGAGAUGCCCUUGGGAGCCAGCUGCUAUGCGAAGUUGGUGACGAGAGUAUCUGGUAUCUGCGGUCACCUGAAGGACACUGGCCGAUCCCAGUUUCACCCAGGAAUGUCUCGCCUGUGAGACAGUGACUUGAAUCUGGAAGGACUGAAUGAAGCCUCUGGAAAUGGCAACUAAACC
rnacentral:lncRNA from 1 species